ensembl:lncRNA
GCAUUAUUGUAAAGGAUGAGCUCUAUGGUAAUGUGAAGCUUUGCCUUUGCAGCAAUUGUUUGAAGGGCACUCUCCAGAGCGGGUGAAGAGAAGCAAGCAGGCUCAUAAAAACACUCAAACGUUCUUGGAGUUUGUAUAGCUCCAACUCUCAUUCCAUGCUGCUGCUUGCCUAAGCAUAGCAAGCACUAGAAGAGGCGCCUCUCUGAGGAAAGAGUGGUGAUGUUGGUAAUAUGUACUGAGAAAGCAGCCCUUCAGGUUUGCCAAAGUCAGGCUGGUCUUUCGGUCACCUACUGAUCUCAGUAACUUGAGAAGCUGCGUGUCUUCAAGUCCUUUCAAGCGGAGAUCAGUUACUUCCCCAUCUACUUUCUGUAGGGUUUUCUGUCCCUUCCACAUGCACGUGGAAGCCAGCUGCAGCAUUUCUGCUUUGACACGGAGCAGCCUCGGGUGCCCUUCCUCCAGGCCGUUGUUCUUACAGAGGGCACUGAGGCACAGCACGUCUCGAAAUGAGCGAGGACAACCAGGGACUCUAGAGCUCCUGCUUGAGCUGUCACACCAUCUCCACGCACACUUCCCCUGUGUCAGUCUGAGCCAGCGGGAGCAGAAGGAAUAGAAACAUGAUUUAGCAUUCCUGCAGUGAGGAGUGCUGUAUGCAUGGUGUAAAUACCACGAGUGAAGUUGCACAGGCCUUUUAUUUUAAAAGCGGUAAGCUGGGCCUUUCUGUGAGGCCUAUCCCUGCUCCCCCCGCCGAGGCCUAGCGCUAUAUAAAGAUAAAGCCUAUGAGGAAAAAAAGGCGAGGAUGAGCACUCAGCCUUCCUUUGGCUUUCUGUUGUCUGCAAGGUGAAAGGCUAAAGACUGACCAAGCAGUGGAAAACAGAAGCAAGGAACUUUGCCUAUCAGAGUAUGCACUGAAUGGAACUUUAUGCAGAAUUUUCCAGAUGGGCAGAAUCUUUGUCAUUCACAAACUGUCCCUAUGCAGCCUGGGCCCGGUUCCCCUGAUAUUCAUGAAUUCCUGUUUCUAAACAGACACUUCUUCUAUAAUUGGCCUCAGAGAAAAGACAGCCGGUCAUCUUGGAAUGGAUCAGACUUGGACUCACUUCUAGCCUGGAUAAGGGCCACAGGUACACCCAGCAAAGCGUUACCUCUCACCUGCAAGGAAGAACUGAGUCUCUGUGAAGAGGUCCUUCUGCAUUUUCUUGGGAAUCAGAGACCUCUGUCAUUCACAAAUGAAGGAAAUACAGAACAAGUGUCUUUUUGAAGAGGACACUGAAAAUUUGCAAUGUCGAUAUGUCUACAUAAAUUACUUCUUCGUGGACUAUUGACUGUGAGUUCAUGUGGCACCGCACAAUAAUUAUUUUGCCUUUUUUGUCUUCUUAACCUGCAUUCAAAACACGUCAGCCACAGUGCUCACUGCUAACAGACUAGGAGCCCUUUUGCAUUUAUUUCGAUUUGUAGAGAUGCAGAAAUAUGAGUAAUAAUGAAGAAAAUAUGUGAUGCCCAUAAUAUAUUACAGCCUAGUCUGAAAAAUUCAGCUACAACGCUAAGAUCCACGCAUGCUAUAAAUGAUUACACAGGAGUCUUUCUAAUAACUGCCGUGAUGCAAAACAAUCUUGCCUGCAGAUGAUAAUAGCUGCUCUUUGGAAGCAGCUGGGAGGGCUCUCAGACAGCACGCUGAGACACAU